UCUGCUGUGAGGAGUUGAGAUCCUCAGUAGUGGAAACAAGGAAACACUUACGCCUGAUCUCACGA
rnacentral:sRNA from 20 species